GGAGUUAAGAAAUGCGGUUGGCAGAAUACGCCGGCCGUUUGACAAAGGCUCCAGAGGAAGCCACGGCUAACUUCGUGCCAGCAGCCGCGGUAACACGAAGGUGGCAAGCGUUGUUCGGAAUUAUUGGGCAUAAAGGGCACGUAGGCGGAGAGGUAAGUUGGUGGUGAAAUCCCCCGGCUCAACCGGGGAACUGCCUCCGAUACUGCCUUUCUGGAGUGCAGGAGGGGAGAGUG
rnacentral:rRNA from 1 species